rnacentral:rRNA from 1 species
UACGUAGGUGGCAAGCGUUGUCCGGAAUUACUGGGUGUAAAGGGAGCGCAGGCGGGAAGCCAAGUCAGCUGUGAAAACUACGGGCUUAACUUGUAGACUGCAGUUGAAACUGGUUUUCUUGAGUGAAGUAGAGGUUGGCGGAAUUCCGAGUGUAGCGGUGAAAUGCGUAGAUACUCGGAGGAACACCGGUGGCGAAGGCGGCCAACUGGGCUUUAACUGACGCUGAGGCUCGAAAGUGUGGGGAGCAAACAGG